CCGAACAUCCUUUUGACUAAUUUUUAAUGUAAAAUAAUCAAUGUACCCUACUAAUUAAAUAAAACAAAAAAAUAAAAAUAAAGAACAAAUUGUAAUUAUAGGCCCAAACUUUUUAAAAAGUGUAAUUCGGUCCAAAUAAAUUAUUAAAAUAUUAAAAAUUUAAAGAAAUGUUCUCUCUCUUCCCUGAGCCUUCUUCCUCUGCUUAAUUGAUCGGCCAUGGCCUCUACCAGUACUGAGGAAACUGGAUUUCUUCCAAAUUUAAAUCUGUAUCUGCAUAAUUCAUUAUAAAAAAAAAAAAUUGGAUUUUCAAUUCCAGUAAAAAUAUACAAUAAACGUUCAUUUGGAAUUAAAUUAAUUCUUUUCCAAGGGGAAAAUUUCAUGUCUUCCAAUCCAGGCAAUAAACAAAGUUGAACAUUUCAAAAUCUUCCCCAAUUUCACAAUAAAGUUCAAUGGUAGAAAUAGGGAAACAUGAAAACAAACAUCAAUACUGUAAAAGGAUAUGAAAAUUAACCACGGAAGCAAUGACAAUAUGGCUUCUACAAGCAGCUCCUUUAUUUCUACUCAAAAGGGAAUUGUUGUAUGGCACUUGAACAGAAAAGUGAAAACGAAGUAUGAAAAUUCCUUCCAAAUGCACCCAGCCACCCACUUCACUAUGAUCUGGUUAAAAUAACUGAAAACAGUAAAUUUCAACCACAAAAUUAGCCGGAAAUUCGAGAAGAUAAAAGACAAUAAAAUCACAAUGAUAUUAAUCUGUUUUUGUACAAACGAACGCUUAAUUGUUGAAAACUGAGAAAGAGAGAGAAACUCUUAUAUUG
rnacentral:lncRNA from 1 species